AUUGAACGCUGGCGGAAUGCUUUACACAUGCAAGUCGAACGGCAGCACGGGGCAACCUGGUGGCGAGUGGCGAACGGGUGAGUAAUACAUCGGAACGUGCCCAAUCGUGGGGGAUAACGUAGCGAAAGUUACGCUAAUACCGCAUACGAUCUACGGAUGAAAGCGGGGGAUCGCAAGACCUCGCGCGAUUGGAGCGGCCGAUGUCAGAUUAGGUAGUUGGUGGGGUAAAGGCUCACCAAGCCGACGAUCUGUAGCUGGUCUGAGAGGACGACCAGCCACACUGGGACUGAGACACGGCCCAGACUCCUACGGGAGGCAGCAGUGGGGAAUUUUGGACAAUGGGGGCAACCCUGAUCCAGCAAUGCCGCGUGUGUGAAGAAGGCCUGAGGGUUGUAAAGCACUUUCGUUAGGGAGGAGGGUUUAUUGGUUAAGAGCUGAUGAACUGGACGUUACCUAAAGAAAAAGACACCGGCUAACUACGUGCCAGCAGCCGCGGUAAU
rnacentral:rRNA from 1 species